ACACAGACAAAUCUGAUUCGGUCACUUGUAUCUUGCUGUUUCGACAGUCAGUAUUCCAAAAGGAUUUGAAAAACAUAAGGCAGUGUGAACAAGGCUUUAGAGAUAGGCAGGAUCUAGGAACAACCCUUAGUCCAGCUAUUAAAUCUGCCUGGAUGUAAAGCUCACUGAUUGGACAGAGUCCACACAUCUGGUGUCCCAUUUUCCUGAUUAUAUGGCGAGAAUGAGAGCCAGCAGUACUUAAGUCCUCAAGUGUACAUUUGAACAGACUCACUUUCAGCCAAUUACGACGCAAUCUAAGUGCACACUAGUUAAAAAGUAACAUUUGACAUUUUAAUAUAUAUGGUUAAAUUCUGACACAUCUAUUACAACUUGUUUGUCUUGUUUUAUUUACAGAUCCUUGCAAUACCACCACCAACUGGACCAAUGUUCCCAAGACAGUUGGUCGUUAAAAUCUGGCAUUGCCUGAGCUCCAUUUCGAGACCUGCACGGAGACCGGUAAAGCAGGCAUAAAAGACCUGCAAAGGAGUGGCUACUGGCCUGCCACCAUCAACUUUUGCACCAUCUUCUCAACAGACGUGUUCUCUUCAUAUGAAGAGAUGAAGAUGGCUGCGCCAGGCAUGUCACGACAAGCAUUUUUGACAAUGCCUGACCAGAGGACAGAGCGUUUUGGCAGAUGCCUCAGAUGGUGACAGACACUCCGUAAUGACGGAGCAAGCCGAGCUGCUGGAGGGCCACCAUGAACUGAUGAACCUGGAGUGCUCAUGGAAUGACCUCAUGUAUUAGCAGUACCGAACAGACAACAAGAACACUCACAACAUUAACCUCAUUCCAAACUACUUUGGAAAGGUGCAGAGGCCCUGUCCGACCUGGCCAAGCAGCUGUGGAUAGCGCGCAUUGAGGGUACCCAGUUGUGUCACGCUAGUCGGACAAGAUGUGGCUGAAGGAAUCACAAACCUAAAACUUCAGUUUUACAGCAGCACACUGGCAAUCUGCCAUGGAUGUUGUUUAUAAUUAGGGCCUUGUGUUUUGAGCAAGCAUGUGUCAUAGCAAGACUUUAUCCUGUAUUUUAAGCCUUAUCUAGAAUUGAGAAUUACACCAAAAAUGAAAGCAAUUCCGAGGAUGGUGCUGGACCAUCUGACAUAAAAAGAAAAUAUAUAAAGUUUAAGGAAAAAUCUUUAAUCAAACUGUCCCUGCAUUCAUCUCCUCCCAACUCCCAACUCUCCAGCAUCAACUCAAGCUCUCUCCAUAAACUCCAAAUGUUCCUGACAGCACAUAAUAAUAAUUUGGUGGGGGCUUAUAUUUGUCCUAUUUCACAAUCUACACGUGUGAAUUUGUUUUUUGUUUUUUUGCAUAACGCAACUUGGACAAAUUAAGGCACAUGGACAUAUUUUUUUACCUUGUCGGCCCUCUUUCUGACCUACAAAGCUCUUCACCACCUUGCCCCCAUCUUACCUCUGACGUUCGCCCCGACCUUUUCCCCUACCAACCCACAUGCUCACUCCGUUCUACCACAGCUGGCCACCUUGUUCCACCAAAGCUCUGGAACUCCUUCUCUCCAGCUGUCAUCCCACCCUUAUUUACAUAAAGUUGCCUCAUGAAACAGAAGAUAGACUUCUGCCGUGUGAGCCGUUAUGGCUGGGACAAGGCUAAUUAUAAUGCACCCACUGGUAACGUUAACAAUUUUGCACCAAACUUAAACGUUUAAAGGUUGUUGAUUACAUUUACUUCUUGCAGUCAGUUGUGUAAAGUAAUGAAGUAGAAAUACUUCGUUACUGUACUUAAGUAGUUUUUUGGGGUAUCCGUACUUUACUUUUUUACUAUUUAUAUUUAUGUCGACUUUUACUUUUACUUCACGACAUAAAAAAAUAAAACAAGUAUACUUUUACUCAAAAAUCAAAUCAAUCUGAAGCUGGAAGAGAAAAACGAAUCAUGUUGGAAAAAGAUGCAAGCAACAUCGGCGAGUCGGCACACUCAAUGGGGGAACUUGUUUUGCAAGGCAGCAGGCGACGACAUGCAGAGUUGAGUUGAUCCAAUCCUCAUCAAUUUGGGCAAAUCCAAGGGUCCUAAAGUGUAAACCCCACGCACCGCGAGCCUGUCACUUGCAAAACAGUCAUCCACUCAGCAGCACUUUGCCCAAGCGUGUCCGAAACCGAUCUACCACCACCUCCCGAUGAGGACGAACACCCUUAGCUGUAUCUAAAAUAAAUGUUUUAUUUUUUCGGAAUGAAGGAUUCAUCCUACCCGGAUGAAAUGUCUGUUAUGUUUACCAAAAGUUCAGGAAAUAACGUUACUAGCGUUCAAGAACUCGCCAUCGAACCUAAAAAAAUACAGGUAAAUAUACUGGUAGCUUGCUAGAAUAACGUUAGCAUGCUAGCUAACAUUAGCUAAUCUAGCUAGCCCACAUUUGCUAAUGCAACAAGCAGUGGUAGUUGAUGCUAGCUAAUCUACCUAAAUUGUUCACUAGCUUCGGAAGCUUUGUUAGCUAACGCAAUCUAACUAAACGAGCUAACUAGCUAGUUUAAGCGAACUGGUAGUUUCCGAAUUUGGGCACAUUUUAGACAGCUAACGUUAGUCUAGCCAAAUACCCUUUUCAUGAUUUUCUUUUAUUAUUGAUGACUGUCUUUAGUACAACUGUCUUACACCAUCAUAAAUCCCCCCCAAAACUAUUAACCCAUUAUUUUUGUUCUCAUGUAAUUCUUUAUAUUGCUCAUACCAACUGAGCCAUCAUUUAUGUUUAAAACUGGCUGUCCUUGCAUCCAAAGUUCAAAUAGAAUAAAAUGUACUGUAAAUG